rnacentral:rRNA from 1 species
AACGAACGCUGGCGGCAUGCCUAACACAUGCAAGUCGAACGAGACCUUCGGGUCCAGUGGCGCACGGGUGCGUAACGCGUGGGAACCUGCCCUUAGGUUUGGAAUAACUCCCCGAAAGGGGUGCUAAUACCGGAUAAUGUCUUCGGACCAAAGAUUUAUCGCCUUUGGAUGGGCCCGAGUUGGAUUAGCUUGUUGGGAGGGUAAAAGCCUACCAAGGCGACGAUUCAUAGCUGGUCUGAGAGGAUGAUCAGCCACACUGAGACUGAGACACGGCCCAGACUCCUACGGGAGGCAGCAGUGGGGAAUAUUGCACAAUGGGCGAAAGCCUGAUCCAGCAAUGCCGCGUGAGUGAUGAAGGCCUUAGGGUUGUAAAGCUCUUUUACCCGGGAUGAUAAUGACAGUACCGGAAGAAUAAGCUCCGGCUAACUCCGUG